rnacentral:rRNA from 1 species
ACGGGUGAGUAAUGUCUGGGGAUCUGCCCGAUAGAGGGGGAUAACCACUGGAAACGGUGGCUAAUACCGCAUAACGUCGCAAGACCAAAGAGGGGGACCUUCGGGCCUCCCACUAUCGGAUGAACCCAGAUGGGAUUAGCUAGUAGGCGGGGUAAUGGCCCACCUAGGCGACGAUCCCUAGCUGGUCUGAGAGGAUGACCAGCCACACUGGAACUGAGACACGGUCCAGACUCCUACGGGAGGCAGCAGUGGGGAAUAUUGCACAAUGGGCGCAAGCCUGAUGCAGCCAUGCCGCGUGUAUGAAGAAGGCCUUCGGGUUGUAAAGUACUUUCAGCGGGGAGGAAGGCGGUGAGGUUAAUAACCUUGCCGAUUGACGUUACCCGCAGAAGAAGCACCGGCUAACUCCGUGCCAGCAGCCGCGGUAAUACGGAGGGUGCAAGCGUUAAUCGGAAUUACUGGGCGUAAAGCGCACGCAGGCGGUCUGUUAAGUCAGAUGUGAAAUCCCCGGGCUUAACCUGGGAACUGCAUUUGAAACUGGCAGGCUUGAGUCUCGUAGAGGGGAGUAGAAUUCCAGGUGUAGC